GUGAAGAGAAACAGGAAGAGAGAGAGAGAGAAAGGGACAAGGGUAAGAGAAAGAAAGAGAAGAGGGAGAGAAGAAAAUACUUUGGUGGAAGGAGAACUUUUUCAAGGAAAGAGAUCAAAGAGUGAAGUAGUGCAGAACUGGAGACACAUGGCUGCAGAAAUGAGAAGCAACUGGGAAACGUGUCCGUGGCUGAGGUGUGCCUGGUGCACACCAGCUCUGGAAGCUUAGAGAACGCUGCGCUCGGGUGCACCGGGUCCAGGGUCGGGAAGUCCCCAAGGCAGAACAUCUUUUAGUUUUGUGUACUAUGGAAUCAGUGUGUGUGGAAUGUCCCCCUACCCCGAGCUGAUCAAAGACCAUCUUUAAUGUGACAUAUGGAUCAGUGGACACUAACGAAGAAGCCAUGCCCGGCUGAAUCUCCACGACAACAAAGAGCUUGGGACAUCUGGAGAGAGCCACACACAGACUCCUGGUGGGUUGGGGGGGGGGGGGGGGGGUGACAACUACGUCACUGUUUGUGUGAGAUGUUAGGUUAUAGUUGGAACUUUCAGUGACGUCAUUAUUUUGUAUAUGAAUAAACGUUUUGGGUGAUUCA